rnacentral:rRNA from 1 species
UACGAAGGGGGCUAGCGUUGCUCGGAAUCACUGGGCGUAAAGCGCACGUAGGCGGAUUGCUAAGUCAGGGGUGAAAUCCUGGAGCUCAACUCCAGAACUGCCCUUGAUACUGGCGGUCUCGAGUCCGGGAGAGGUGAGUGGAACUGCGAGUGUAGAGGUGAAAUUCGUAGAUAUUCGCAAGAACACCGGUGGCGAAGGCGCCACUCUGGGCCGGUACUGACGCUGAGGAGCGAAAGCGUGGGUAGCAAACAGGA